AGAGUUUGAUCCUGGCUCAGGAUGAACGCUAGCUACAGGCUUAACACAUGCAAGUCGAGGGGCAUCAGGAAGAAAGCUUGCUUUCUUUGCCGGCGACCGGCGCACGGGUGAGUAACACGUAUCCAACCUGCCCUUUACUCGGGGAUAGCCUUUCGAAAGAAAGAUUAAUACCCGAUAGCAUAAUGAUUCCGCAUGGUUUCAUUAUUAAAGGAUUCCGGUAAAGGAUGGGGAUGCGUUCCAUUAGGUUGUUGGUGAGGUAACGGCCCACCAAGCCUUCGAUGGAUAGGGGUUCUGAGAGGAAGGUCCCCCACAUUGGAACUGAGACACGGUCCAAACUCCUACGGGAGGCAGCAGUGAGGAAUAUUGGUCAAUGGGCGCUAGCCUGAACCAGCCAAGUAGCGUGAAGGAUGAAGGCUCUAUGGGUCGUAAACUUCUUUUAUAUAAGAAUAAAGUGCAGUAUGUAUACUGUUUUGUAUGUAUUAUAUGAAUAAGGAUCGGCUAACUCCGUGCCAGCAGCCGCGGUAAUACGGAGGAUCCGAGCGUUAUCCGGAUUUAUUGGGUUUAAAGGGAGCGUAGGUGGACUGGUAAGUCAGUUGUGAAAGUUUGCGGCUCAACCGUAAAAUUGCAGUUGAUACUGUCAGUCUUGAGUACAGUAGAGGUGGGCGGAAUUCGUGGUGUAGCGGUGAAAUGCUUAGAUAUCACGAACAACUCCGAUUGCGAAGGCAGCUCACUGUACUGCAACUGACACUGAUGCUCGAAAGUGUGGGUAUCAUACAGGAUUACAUAGCCUGGUAGUCCACACAAUACACGAUGAAUACUCGCUGUUUGCGAUAUACAGUAAGCGGCCGAGCGAAAGCAUUAAGUAUUCCACCUGAGGACUACGCCGGCUACCGUGAAACUAACAGGAAUUGACGGGGGCCAGCACUAGCGGACGAACAUGUGGGUUGAUUCGAUGAUACGCGAUGAGCGUGACACGGGCUUCAAUCGCAGUGNAAUGAUGUGGAAACAUGUCAUUGAGCAAUCACAGCUGUGAAAGUGCUGCA
rnacentral:rRNA from 1 species